CCGGUGGGAUCUUUUAAGUAGGGAGCCUGGCAUGCUAGGUUCUCUAACAUGAAAAUCCGGGCAACAGUGAGGUCACCGUGACAGAGACCCUGCCAAUAGUUUUUCCCCCAGAGAGGCUAACGAAAAUUUACAGGUCUGAACCCAGCUUCUAGAAGGAGUGUGACUUGCCCAAGGUAGCUUGAUGGUAACCAAAGCCUGGCAGGAGUGCACCAUCAAAGGCUGCCAGAAGGAGUUGAAAUGAAAAUAAGGGACCCAAGCCACCCUGGGAGCUCCCCAUACCCACCACUGGAAGCUCUGUAGCUUGCCAGCCAGAGAGACAAUGGGGGAGGCCCCCACCAGCCACCAGAAAGCAUUCCAGAGGAUGCUUAAAGCACAAAAAUCGGCUAGAAGAAAUGCUCAGUAUCCCACGGAGGGUCCAAGUCAGUAGGAACUGAGACCACCGACUUCUCAUCCGGUUUCCAAGAAGGCCUGGUCAACACCUUCAACCCUAAGAGCAAAGCCCAGGCCUGGUAAUAACAGCGCCGAUGACUGGCACCCUGCCACCACCAUAAUGCAUCAGGCCUGUGCAGGAACCAGACAGUAUGCCCCCAAAGCCACACCCUCAGCGGUGCUCCAGACCCUGGCUCUGGUAAGGGAUGCUGAAGAAGCCUCAGCUUCCUUGUAUCUCACAGAAAAGGCAUGUAGGCUCCCCACAACCCCUUUCCCAUGGUGCCUCUGCCUAGUUCCCGGCAAACUUUGCUUGGGGAAGGCCUGGUUGAUGCAGGAGAUGGUUAAAAUUCUGCAUCCGUUUGCAUCCG